UAUAUUUUUUCUUCUUAUUUACUAUUUUGUUUUAGCAAAGAUAUAUAAUGGAAUUUGGAUUGGAAAAUCUGCAGGGAUCAUGACGAGGCGACCUUUGGUCUUGCAGCUUGACAAGACAAACGAGGGAGCUCAGAAAUACGCCGAGUUUCUUCACCUUUGCAAGAGGAGAUUCACAAAUUUUGGAAUUGAUGUUCAGUUUUUAAGUUACAUAAUUAUUUUUGCCAAAACUUGAGAAGAGAGCUGGCAAUUAGGAGUAAGAAAAUCUGAGGUCAAAUUUAGGAACUGGUGUAGUGCUAUGAAUGUAUGGCCUGCCCUUAUUGUUGAGACAAGCAAUGCUUCUUAUCUCCAUGGAUAUAUUGUCAGGGCUUUAUACAGGGCAUUCUAACAUCAUCUGAACAGGCUGAUAUGACCAUGUUAGAAGACGAACUACCAACAAAAAGAUGACUUUCAUCAGCCCUUGUCAAGGUAUAUUGAGAUGAUUUCUUUGGAGCAAUUCUUGACAACAUUUGUAGUUGAGGCCUUUAGAAUGGAAGAAUGUAUUUCACUAAUUUUUGUAUACAUUUCUUGUUUUGUAUUUAGUGAUAAAGGAAUCUGAAUAGGGCAUAAAUUAUGUUGUAAUAUGAUUUCUUAAGCCUAGACUAGUAGACUAAAUAUUUUAAUUACAUUUGAGUAAUUAAUAAAAAUCUAUUUAUGUUAUCUUA